rnacentral:misc_RNA from 1 species
AGGUUAUUGCCAGGGUUUUUAUUUUUAUACUUUAAACUUUGAUUUUAUUUUUAUGUUUUUUAAAUAUUGGUGUUUUUGAAUGUGUUGUUUAAAUAACAUAAAAAUAAAAUAUAUAUUGACAUGUAUUAAACAAAGAUAUAUAUUAUUUUAUGUUGUAUAAAUAAAUUGGCAAAAUAGAGAUGGAAGAUAAAAAUAAAAACC